GAUGAACGCUGACAGCAUGCUUAACACAUCAGCAAUUGAUUGGUGGCGGAAGGGUGAGUAACGCGUAAAGAACUUGCCUCACAGGUAGGGACAACAUUUGGAAACGAAUGCUAAUACCUAAUACUGUGAGAGAGCUUUGCGUCCCAUUAGCUAGUUGGAGAGGUAACGGCUCACCAAGGCGAUGAUGGGUAGCAGGCCUGAGAGGUUGAUCGGCCACAAGGUGACGGGGAGACGGCCCUGACGCCUACUGGAGGCAGCAGGGGGGAAUAUUGGACAAUGGACCAAAGUUUGAUCCAGCAAUUCUGUUUGAACGAUGAAGUUUUCGGAAUGUAAAGUUCUUUCAGUUGGGAAGCGGUACCAACAGAAGAAGUGACGGCUAAAUACGUGCCAGCAGCCGCGGUAAUUC
rnacentral:rRNA from 1 species